UACUCCUACGGGAGGCAGCAGUGGGGAAUAUUGCGCAAUGGGGGGAACCCUGACGCAGCCAUGCCGCGUGAAUGAAGAAGGCCUUCGGGUUGUAAAGUUCUUUCGGUAUUGAGGAGGGUUGAUGUGUUAAUAGCACAUCAAAUUGACGUUAAAUACAGAAGAAGCACCGGCUAACUCCGUGCCAGCAGCCGCGGUAAUACGGAGGGUGCGAGCGUUAAUCGGAAUAACUGGGCGUAAAGGGCACGCAGGCGGUUAUUUAAGUGAGGUGUGAAAGCCCUGGGCUUAACCUAGGAAUUGCAUUUCAGACUGGGUAACUAGAGUACUUUAGGGAGGGGUAGAAUUCCACGUGUAGCGGUGAAAUGCGUAGAGAUGUGGAGGAAUACCGAAGGCGAAGGCAGCCCCUUGGGAAUGUACUGACGCUCAUGUGCGAAAGCGUGGGGAGCAAACAGGAUUAGAUACCCUGGUAGUCCACGCUGUAAACGCUGUCGAUUUGGGGGUUGGGGUUUAACUCUGGCGCCCGUAGCUAACGUGAUAAAUCGACCGCCUGGGGAGUACGGCCGCAAGGUUAAAACUCAAAUGAAUUGACGGA
rnacentral:rRNA from 1 species